rnacentral:rRNA from 1 species
GUGGGGAAUCUUGCGCAAUGGGCGAAAGCCUGACGCAGCCAUGCCGCGUGAAUGAUGAAGGUCUUAGGAUUGUAAAAUUCUUUCACCGGGGACGAUAAUGACGGUACCCGGAGAAGAAGCUCCGGCUAACUUCGUGCCAGCAGCCGCGGUAAUACGAAGGGGGCUAGCGUUGCUCGGAAUUACUGGGCGUAAAGGGCGCGUAGGCGGACAGCUUAGUCAGAGGUGAAAGCCCAGGGCUCAACCUUGGAAUUGCCUUUGAUACUGGCUGUCUUGAGUGUGGGAGAGGUGAGUGGAACUCCGAGUGUAGAGGUGAAAUUCGUAGAUAUUCGCAAGAACACCAGUGGCGAAGGCGGCUCACUGGCCCGAUACUGACGCUGAGGUGCGAAAGCGUGGGGAGCAAACAGGAUUAGAAACCCGUGUAGUCC